rnacentral:rRNA from 1 species
AUUGAACGCUGGCGGCAUGCCUUACACAUGCAAGUCGAACGGCAGCACGGGAGCAAUCCUGGUGGCGUGUGGCGAACGGGUGAGUAAUACAUCGGAACGUGCCCAGUUGUGGGGGAUAGCCCGGCGAAAGCCGGAUUAAUACCGCAUACGACCUACGGGUGAAAGCGGGGGAUCGCAAGACCUCGCGCAAUUGGAGCGGCCGAUGGCAGAUUAGCUUGUUGGUGGGGUAAAAGCCCACCAAGGCGACGAUCUGUAGCUGGUCUGAGAGGACGACCAGCCACACUGGGACUGAGACACGGCCCAGACUCCUACGGGAGGCAGCAGUGGGGAAUUUUGGACAAUGGGCGCAAGCCUGAUCCAGCCAUGCCGCGUGUGGGAAGAAGGCCUUCGGGUUGUAAACCACUUUUGUCAGGGAAGAAACGGUCUGAUCUAAUAAAUCGGACUAAUGACGGUACCUGAAGAAUAAGCACCGGCUAACUACGUGCCAGCCGCCGCCGUAAAAC